GCCGUUGUAGCUCAGUUGGUAGAGCAGCUCACUCGUAAUGAGCAGGUCGUCGGUUCAAGUCCGACCAACGGCU
rnacentral:tRNA from 1 species